GUCCUGGAUGAUGAAUACACAAGCUCAGUAGGCUCCAAAUUUCCAGUCCGGUGGUCCCCCCCGGAAGUCCUGAUGUAUAGCAAGUUCAGCAGCAAAUCUGACAUUUGGGCUUUUGGGGUUUUGAUGUGGGAAAUUUACUCCCUGGGGAAGAUGCCAUAUGAGAGAUUUACUAACAGUGAGACUGCUGAACACAUUGCCCAAGGCCUACGUCUCUACAGGCCUCAUCUGGCUUCAGAGAAGGUAUAUACCAUCAUGUACAGUUGUUGGCAUGAGGUAAGUGCUUUAUUAGGACCUCUUAAAUUAUUUCCUUGAAUCUACUUGCCCAUUUAGCUGGCCAUUCAGCCACAGACUGAUAGCUGCACACAUUCUCUUUUUUUUACUUUUUUUUUUUUUUUUUAAUUUGAGACAAGGUCUCGCUUUUUCAC
rnacentral:sRNA from 1 species